rnacentral:tRNA from 1 species
GGGCCCAUAGCUCAGUGGUUAGAGCGGACGACUCAUAAUCGUUUGGUCGCUGGUUCAACUCCAGCUGGGCCCA